rnacentral:lncRNA from 1 species
UGUAGAUGUAGAUGUUAAUGAUUUUUUUUUAAUAUGUAAAGUUUUUUGUUUUUGUUAUAUUACACGCACUCUAGCGGCAUGACAAUUGUACACAUACAUACUUAUAUAAUAUAACAUUAUACUUAGAGAUUUGGUAUAUAAUGUUAGACCAACACCAUUUAGUGAUACAAUUAAUAUGUAAUUAUAUACAUAUCUAUGUAUGUGCUUAUGUAUUGCUUAUUUACAAAUUAUUAGUGCAGCUGAAAUGUUUUUUCUCUCAUGCGAUAUGGUGUAACAAAAAAAAAACGGAAACUCUAGAGCAGUGGACUAUUUAUUGCCUUACAUUACGUGUAUGCAGAGAGACAAUUAAAGAGUUGGACUUGAAAUAGCAAAAGUGUGCAAAGAAAAAAACACUGCAGUCGAGAUGUUUCUUAAAAGUUCAUUUGCAGUAAAUUUUCUUGUUGCAUAUUGAAAAAACAUUUUUUUUUAGUUAAUUUCAAUCAAUUCACAUUCAGGUAGUGAGAAGUUGAAAACUGUUCGUAUCCUUAAUGUCAACAGUAUUUAAGGAAAAAUAUUUUGGAGUGUCACAAUUUGUGUGGCUGCGACUGAAGUGUUAUUCAGCAGAAAGAGUUAUGAACGCCACACGGCUUUCGCGCCGUAUUACUCAGCUUUUUCUUUAUAAAAUGCAGAAUUUGCAUCAUACCAACAGCCAUAAUCACUUUGGUGAAAGCUCCGUUUUUUCAAAAUUGAAACAUCUCUGCUAUGUACAGUGUGUCUGCGGAUUAUAUACAAACUGCUAAAUCAAAAAGAAAAAUAUAAGUAUAAAUCGCUCUGGGUAACACACAAGAAGUUGUAAAGAGAAAAAUGCAAAUACAAAAGGAAGAAUUGGAAUUGCACAUGAAUGGGGAGAAACCUAAGAAGCCUUGCUUACUGCAUUCUGCUGCAGUUUUAGUUUCACCUAUAGCUGUUGUUUCCCUAUUGCAGUUACCGUUGCAAUACCCUUUAGCCAUGCUGUUUGUGGGGUGACGAAAGGUCACAUGAAAAUUUUUGCUGAACCCAAGCCAUGUCUUUUUCAAUUUAUACUGCUUUUUACUCAACUUCAAUUGCAACUCUUUGCAGUGUUGCAGUGACAAGGAGAUUUUUUUUGUUUUUUUUUGUUUAUUUUUUUGUUUUUGCUUUUGUUUUUUUUUUUUGCGCAAACAAAAUUGCUUAACUAAACGAUCCAUGAACCAUUUGUUGGCCAACAGUGAGUGUUUAGUUCCACUUGGUAAUAAUGAUACGCCUCUUUAGCCUCCUCCACCUGCCACGCACACACACACACACGCACACACACACACACACACAUACACACCCUAUCAAGCUGGGUAGUGAUUGCUUGCAGUUGUUAUAAUGCAUAGUUUUUCCUGCUUCUUCUGCUUUUUAUUUUUACUUACAUGUAUGUUUGUAUUUGUGCAUGUAUGUAUGUAUGUAUGUAUGUAUGUAUGCAUGUGUAUUGCAGUGGCAGCGCUGAAGGUCAGCGUACGUUAAGCGGCUUUUACUUGAAUAUUAUUUAUUUAUACAUAUGCAAUUUGUAAUGUAAUAUAAUAUGUGCAUAUGUACGCAUGUAAGUACAUAUAUGUAUAUGUCUGUAUGUAUGCAUGGCAGUGCAAUAACAUUUUUGAAGUCAUGCUAAGUUAACUUUGCUAUUGCAUUUACUAUGGUUUUUAAUUUUGUCAAAGUGUUGCAGUGUCGUUUUCCGCAUAUAUAUAUAUUCCUAUUUUAUAUACAUACGUACGCAUAUAGCGCAUUGAUAUACGCCAGAUGUAUGUAUGUAUGUCGGUGUAAGAGGCAAGGCUUGUGAUGAGCUUCAGCAAAGAAUUGUAAAAAACAGGCUGGUUUACAUAUAUAAGGACAUAUAUAUAUAUAUACAAUAAAUGUAUAUGCAUAUAGUUUCGUAUUUGUAUAUAUACAUAUAUAUGCUUAAAUGUAGGUGUUUAUGUUUUACUUUUUACUUCAUAUCAACUCUUAGGCGAAGGGAAUGCACUAGUUAGUGUUUUAUUUACAUAUAUAUAUAUAAGUGAUGUGUAUAUUGUAUAUUAGUAUAUAUACAUAUACCUACAAGAGUUAGUAGUGGCAUGAAAUUUAGUUAGAGUUGUGACUGCAUGCAAAGUUAAUAGAGCAAAUAAAACAGACAUUUGUAAGAAGCAUGCAUGUACAUACAUAUAUACCAUAUGUACAUACGUAUAUUCAUGUAAAUAUGUUUUUGAUUUAAAUAUACAUAUGCAUAUGCGUAUCUACAUAACAUUCGUUCAUUCAUAUCAAAUCAACACGCACAAAAGCUUGCACACUUGGGGGCGUUUACAUGCCAGCAACUGACUACAUAUAUAUAUACUACACAUAAAUAUAGUUAUAUGUACAUAUGUAUGUAUAUAUGUGUGUGUAUAUUUUUUUAAGUGCAAUAAAAAACGUUCUUUGAGCAUAAUUUGGAAAAUGUUCCAUUAUUUUUUUCUAAUAUUUUGUUGGUUAAUUUUUUUUUUAAUUCAUAAUUUUUUU